rnacentral:rRNA from 1 species
GAUGAACGCUAGCGGCAGGCUUAACACAUGCAAGUCGAGGGGUAUGGGAAGCUUGCUUUCCAGAGACCGGCGCACGGGUGCGUAACGCGUAUGCAACCUACCUUGAACAGGGGGAUUGCCCAGAGAAAUUUGGAUUAAUACCCCAUGGUAUUAUUGGAUGGCAUCAUCUGAUAAUUAAAGUUCCAACGGUUCAAGAUGGG